rnacentral:rRNA from 1 species
UACGGGGGGGGCAAGCGUUGUUCGGAAUUACUGGGCGUAAAGGGCUCGUAGGUGGCCAACUAAGUCAGACGUGAAAUCCCCAGGCUCAACUUGGGAACUGCGUCUGAUACUGGAUGGCUUGAAUUCGGGAGAGGGAUGCGGAAUUCCAGGUGUAGCGGUGAAAUGCGUAGAUAUCUGGAGGAACACCGGUGGCGAAGGCGGGUCUCUGGGCAUUUCCUGACGCUGAGGCGCGAAAGCGUGGGGAGCGAACAGG